rnacentral:rRNA from 1 species
CGGUGGGGAAGAAAAGCCUCGACCUAAUACGUCGGGGUCUUGACGUAACCCAAGAAAGAAGCACCGGCUAACUCUGUGCCAGCAGCCGCGGUAAUACAGAGGGUGCGAGCGUUAAUCGGAAUUACUGGGCGUAAAGCGCGCGUAGGCGGCUUUGCAAGUCGGGUGUGAAAUCCCCAGGCUUAACCUGGGAACUGCACUCGAGACUGCAUUGCUAGAGUAUGGGAGAGGGAAGUGGAAUUUCCGGUGUAGCGGUGAAAUGCGUAGAUAUCGGAAGGAACAUCAGUGGCGAAAGCGACUUCCUGGACCAAUACUGACGCUCAUGUGCGAAAGCGUGGGGAGCAAACAGGAUUAGAUACCCUGGUAGUCCACGCCAUAAACGAUGAGAACUGGAUGUCGGGAGGGUCUGCCUCUCG